rnacentral:rRNA from 1 species
GACGAACGCUGGCGGCGUGCCUAAUACAUGCAAGUCGAGCGAAGGUUUUCUGCUGCUUGCACUAGAAAGACUUAGCGGCGAACGUGUGGGUAACACGUAAAGAACCUGCCUCAUAGACUGGGACAACUAUUGGAAACGAUAGCUAAUACCUGAUAACAGUAUUUCUCGCAUGAGAGAUAUUUAAAAGUUGGUUGUGCUAACACUAUGAGAUGGCUUUGCGGUGCAUUAGCUAGUUGGUGGGGUAAAGGCCCACCAAGGCGACGAUGCAUAGCCGACCUGAGAGGGUGAUCGGCCACACUGGAACUGAGACACGGUCCAGACUCCUACGGGAGGCAGCAGUAGGGAAUCUUCCGCAAUGGGCGAAAGCCUGACGGAGCAACGCCGCGUGAGUGAAGAAGGAUUUCGGUUCGUAAAGCUCUGUUGUUAGGGAAGAAUGGAUGUGUAGUAACUACACAUGUAAGAGACGGUACCUAACCAGAAAGCAACGGCUAACUACGUG